rnacentral:rRNA from 1 species
CCUACGGGAGGCAGCAGUGGGGGAUAUUGCACAAUGGGGGGAACCCUGAUGCAGCGACGCCGCGUGGGUGAAGGAGUGCUUCGGCAUGUAAAGCCCUAUCGGCAGGGAAGAAGCAAGACGGUACCUGACUAAGAAGCCCCGGCUAACUACGUGCCAGCAGCCGCGGUAAUACGUAGGGGGCGAGCGUUAUCCGGAUUCACUGGGUGUAAAGGGAGCGUAGACGGCACUGCAAGCCAGGGGGGAAAGCCCGGGGCCCAACCCCGGGACUGCCCUUGGAACUGUGCGGCUAGAGUGCGGGAGGGGCAGGCGGAAUUCCUGGUGUAGCGGUGAAAUGCGUAGAUAUCAGGAGGAACACCGGCGGCGAAGGCGGCCUGCUGGACCGCGACUGACGUUGAGGCUCGAAAGCGUGGGGAGCGAACAGGAUUAGAUACCCUUGUAGUC